rnacentral:rRNA from 1 species
CCUACGGGUGGCAGCAGUGGGGAAUAUUGGACAAUGGGCGAAAGCCUGAUCCAGCCAUGCCGCGUGUGUGAAGAAGGCCUUCGGGUUGUAAAGCACUUUCAGUGGGGAAGAAAGCCUUGGGGCUAAUACCCUCGAGGAAGGACAUCACCCACAGAAGAAGCACCGGCUAACUCCGUGCCAGCAGCCGCGGUAAUACGGAGGGUGCGAGCGUUAACCGGAAUUACUGGGCGUAAAGCGCGCGUAGGCGGUCUGAUAAGCCGGUUGUGAAAGCCCCGGGCUCAACCUGGGAACGGCAUCCGGAACUGUCAGGCUAGAGUGCAGGAGAGGAAGGUAGAAUUCCCGGUGUAGCGGUGAAAUGCGUAGAGAUCGGGAGGAAUACCAGUGGCGAAGGCGGCCUUCUGGACUGACACUGACGCUGAGGUGCGAAAGCGUGGGUAGCAAACAGGAUUAGAUACCCCGGUGGUC